CGGUCGUCAUCAGAUUUAUAGGAUUCAUCAGGUUCUUCAUGAUCAUCAACAUAUUCAUCAUCUGAUAUAUUAGACAACUCUUCGUCUUCAAAUUUGUGCCUAUCAUCCUCAACUUCUGAAUGAUAGCCAGCAUAAUUUUCUUCUACAGGUUCUGGUAUAUCAUGCUCAUCUUCAAAUGCUUCUUCUGCAGGUUCUGGUAUAUCCAUCUCAUCCUCAUGGCCCUUUUUAUCGCUUUUACCAACAUCAUCUACAUUUUCUCCAGUCCAGCGAGAAGCCACCAGACGACCCAAUUCCUCCUUUGACAAACCUUCAGAGUCGGCAGAAGUAGGGUCCUG
rnacentral:lncRNA from 1 species